GAUAGUGUGAUACUAUUUCAAGCGGGGCUGAAAUUUACCAGCACUCCAACCACUACACCACAGCGGCGACCCACUCCACUCAUCACCCGUCGCUCCCAAGCAGUUUGACUCCAAGCGAAGAGUCAAAAUCUAAGAUGAGUCUGGCAUGCCUGGUAUGCCAUAGUGUAGAAAGUCCCUUGCACUCUUUCAGGAGUUACUCGGUUUCAAGUUCAGACAACGAAGGAAGAUGCUCCGCCAUUGCCAAUUGCUUGACCAGGAAGACGUUGCUUCCACACUCUUGUGCAAAUGGCGGUGUCACAACGUCUAAGGUGACACCUCAGCCUGCUGGUCAGAGUACCGUAGUAACAGGACCCCCGAGGCUAGUUCGGAGCCGUGCUAUCAGAAGGGACCUCGUUAGAGACUGGAACUUUGAAGGUGUUGUGUUAGAACGCUAAGGCUACACAUAUGAGAAGAAAGCUCGGAGUGAUCGCAGCUGCUAUAUGUGUUGGAUUAAGGAUAGGAUGCCAUAUUCAGUACUUUAGUCUCACUAUUUGUUUCAAAGAAUGUGAGCAUACUAGAUGAAUUUUGAGUCAAGUCAUCUGUUUAUAAUAUUCUCUCUACUCUUGGGCUUCUCAGAACUGAUUUUCGAUCUUUGAUUCGUCGUCGUCUUCAUGAACUUCCAUGUUUUGUAAUGUAAGUCUCAACAGUGAACUUCUUUAGCCUUUUUAGUCGCAGAUAUGUAACAUUCUGAAAGAUGAUUAUGUGACAACAUUAUUGUAGCAUUAUGUAUUUUACCUUUUGGGGUCAA